CGGCGGACGGGUGAGUAAACGCGUGAGCGAACCACCUGGAGGCGGGGGACAACCCGGGGAAACCCGGGCUAACACCGCAUCGUGCGGCGGGGGUGGAGCCCCGUCGUGAAAGCUGGCCUCUUCGUUGAAAGCCAGCGCCUCCGGACGGGCUCGCGUCCUAUCAGCUCGUUGGUGAGGUAACGGCUCACCAAGGCGAUGACGGGUAGCUGACGUGAGAGCGUGAUCAGCCACACUGGGACUGAGACACGGCCCAGACUCCUACGGGAGGCAGCAGUGGGGAAUCUUGCACAAUGGGUGAGAGCCUGAUGCACGACGCCGCGUGGGGGAGGAAGGCCCUAGGGUUGUAAACCCCUGUCAGGCAGGAAGAAUCAAGGGAUCGGCGAACAGCCGGUUCCCCUGACGGUACCGCCAGAGGAAGCUCCGGCUAACUCCGUGCCAGCAGCCGCGGUAAAACGGAGGGAGCGAGCGUUGUCCGGAAUUACUGGGCGUACAGGGCGCGUAGGCGGCCGCGUAAGUCGUCGGUGAAAAGCCGGGGCUCAACCCCGGCAUGGCCGGCGAUACUGCGUGGCUGGAGACAGGCAGGGGCGAGCGGAAUUCCCGGU
rnacentral:rRNA from 1 species